AUUGAACGCUGGCGGCAGGCUUAACACAUGCAAGUCGAACGAUGACUCUCUAGCUUGCUAGAGAAGAUUAGUGGCGGACGGGUGAGUAACAUUUAGGAAUCUGCCUAGUAGUGGGGGAUAGCUCGGGGAAACUCGAAUUAAUACCGCAUACGACCUACGGGGGAAAGGGGGCGCAAGCUCUUGCUAUUAGAUGAGCCUAAAUCAGAUUAGCUAGUUGGUGGGGUAAAGGCCCACCAAGGCGACGAUCUGUAACUGGUCUGAGAGGAUGAUCAGUCACACCGGAACUGAGACACGGUCCGGACUCCUACGGGAGGCAGCAGUGGGGAAUAUUGGACAAUGGGGGCAACCCUGAUCCAGCCAUGCCGCGUGUGUGAAGAAGGCCUUUUGGUUGUAAAGCACUUUAAGCAGGGAGGAGAGGCUAAUGGUUAAUACCCAUUAGAUUAGACGUUACCUGCAGAAUAAGCACCGGCUAACUCUGUGCCAGCCGCCGCGGUAACAC
rnacentral:rRNA from 1 species